rnacentral:rRNA from 1 species
GACAGAGGGUGCAAACGUUGUUCGGAAUUACUGGGCGUAAAGCGCGUGUAGGCGGCCAUGCAAGUCGGAUGUGAAAGCCCUCGGCUCAACCGGGGAAGUGCACCCGAAACUGCAAGGCUAGAGUCUCGGAGAGGAUCGUGGAAUUCUCGGUGUAGAGGUGAAAUUCGUAGAUAUCGAGAGGAACACCGGUGGCGAAGGCGGCGAUCUGGACGGUGACUGACGCUGAGGAGCGAAAGCCAGGGGAGCAAACGGG